rnacentral:rRNA from 1 species
AGAGUUUGAUCAUGGCUCAGGACGAACGCUGGCGGCGUGCUUAACACAUGCAAGUCGAGCGGUAAGGCCCCUUCGGGGGUACACGAGCGGCGAACGGGUGAGUAACACGUGAGCAACCUACCCUCAACUUUGGGAUAAGCCUCGGAAACGGGGUCUAAUACCGGAUAUGACUGCGGACUUCAUGGUUUGUGGUUGAAAGUUCUGGCGGUUGGGGAUGGGCUCGCGGCCUAUCAGCUUGUUGGUGGGGUAAUGGCCUACCAAGGCUUCGACGGGUAGCCGGCCUGAGAGGGCGACCGGCCACACUGGGACUGAGACACGGCCCAGACUCCUACGGGAGGCAGCAGUGGGGAAUAUUGCGCAAUGGACGAAAGUCUGACGCAGCAACGCCGCGUGAGGGAUGACGGCCUUCGGGUUGUAAACCUCUUUCAGCAGGGACGAAGCGAGAGUGACGGUACCUGCAGAAGAAGGACCGGCCAACUACGUGCCAGCAGCCGCGGUAAUAC